CCUACGGGAGGCAGCAGUGAGGAAUAUUGGUCAAUGGGAGUGAUCCUGAACCAGCCAAGCCGCGUGAGGGACGACGGCCCUAUGGGUUGUACACCUCUUUUGUCGGAGAACAAAACCCGGGACGUGUCCCGUACUGCGUGUAUCCGAAGAAAAAGCAUCGGCUAACUCCGUGCCAGCAGCCGCGGUAGUACGGAGGAUGCGAGCGUUAUCCGGAUUUAUUGGGUUUAAAGGGUGCGUAGGCGGUCCGUUAAGUCAGCGGUAAAAUUGUGGGGCUCAACCCCGUCGAGCCGGUGAAACUGGCAGACUUGAGUUGGCGAGAAGUACGCGGAAGGCGCGGUGUAGCGGUGAAAUGCAUAGAUAGCGCGCAGAACUCCGAUUGCGAAGGCAGCGUACCGGCGCCAGACUGACGCUGAGGCACGAAAGCGUGGGGAUCGAACAGGAUUAGAUACCCGGGUAGUC
rnacentral:rRNA from 1 species